rnacentral:snoRNA from 1 species
GUUGGAGUCUAUCCCAGUGGGGACUUUUCUGUAGCUACGCAUCAUUGGAAAUGCCUCACAGAGUAACUCUGUGGUUCUGCUUUACUCACAGGACUAUGUAUUAGGUAGGUAUUGGCAUAUCCUU